UCGAUUUUGAAAUUCUAGGUAUUACACUCUAAAAAAUGCUGGGUUAUUUGUUUAACCCAACAGCUGGGUUGAGCCUGUUGGGUCAUUUUGUUGGGUUAUUUUCUCAGUGUUGGGUCAUUUUUUGAGUAACCCAAACGCUGGGUUAGCAGUCGGGUCCAAUUGAGUGACAGUUGAGAGAGUAAACCCCUCCCACUGCUUGACGCAUCAGACAAACUUUACCUUCGCGGGCAUUUUGAUCCACCUCAUCUCGAAAAGUUGUUAUUCGGAGAAGAAAAGGAUGCAGAAUAACAGCUAAUAUUAAUGGAUCAUUCUAUUCAAGAGAAAGUCAACUGGAACGUGGAUGUUUUCAUAACAGGCUUAAAGAUGAACAAAUUGAUAAAGAAACCUCCUGCUGAACAUCCACUUCUAAAAGUGCACGCCACACUGUUGUCUACAACUCCCAGGAAAAGAAUCCUCUUUAGUAAGUCUGCUCCGUGGAUAUCUCAGGUUAAGCAGUGCUGAAACCGAAAGAACUAACGCUCUUUAAAAUGUUUUGUGAGUUUAUAUGAAGAGGAAAGUUACGCUGGAAUUGACCUAAAGCACUUUACUCGUGCCACUUUGUUAACUGUAUAUGAAUUUUUAAAGUGUUAAGUUGUCUAACUAUUUAUAUUUACUUGUGCCACUUUAAUAACCUUGUUAAAUGUAUAUGUUAAAAUCUAAACUAAUGUAAUUUAUUGAAGUUAAUUUUCCUUAAAUAUGUAUAAACAUACAUUUCAUCAAAGUGUUUUAUAUGCCAUUUUAUUGUUCAUUGAGCAUAACAUAUUGCAUGUUUUUAUGAAUUCCUUUUGUCUUGCAUUUUGAUCCUUAAUAAAACUUUUGAUUCUUACUGAUGCCUCGAGUAUUUCUCUGUGAUUUUGUUAUUAUUAUUUUUAAACAUUUCGGGUUUGUUUUAAACCAGCAAUGUAAUUUUUAAGCAAAAGUUGAUUUAAAUAAAACAACCCAGCAUGUUGGGUCAAAGAUAUAACCCAACUGGCUGGGUUAAAAUAACCCAACGCUGGGUUUGUCCAUAUUUGACCCAA